GGCCAGGCUCAGCUACUGCAACACAUUCAAACCACCGAAAUCGGACACUAAAUUACCGAAUGGCUUGUUUCUUAAACCACGUGAAUAACAGAUUAAUCUAGUAAAAUGUUGUUACAUUGUAGUAUUUCCUGUAAGUGGCCACCCCUAACAGUAGACUCUGUGAAGCCUACUUAGUUUGACCCGGUUUGAUCUUUAGAUGGCCAUCUACUAGACCAGUACCGUCUGUACAUGCCGGUUGCUGUACCACGGCCGUCCAGGUGAUGCUGGUGGUCGAAAAGGAGGACUAGGAAAACAGCCGACAAACAAAAUACACGGUUAAUUACAAAGUAUUUUUCAAAGUAAACCUGCAAACUUCUCAGGACUUGCUGCCAGCUGUGAAGAAGAAAUUGCUGUUCUGGGAGCAACCCAAUUAAACUACGAAGAAGAAACUGCAAACUGUCAUGGACGAUGGGAGUGGGGGGAUGGGAGCUUGUUGUGAUUGAAGCUGCUUCCCGCACACACGUCGUGCCCAGCGAGCUUGUCCACUGCAUCCGUCCGUCAACGGACGACGGAAGGCGUGUCUGACGGAUGGGGGAGUGGUAUUUGCAGACGGAGCCACGAUCUGAUGGAUCCGUUGCAGCCUGAAAAGUUAAAAUUUUCUCUACCUCUGAAUGCAAGAGACGGAACGGACCGACCGACAAUGCAUUUCAGGAUCGCCCCAUGCAAAGUCAAUGAGAUCCGUCAACGGACGGAUGCAGUGGGCAAGGGGUGUAAGUCUCUGCCAGAUUGUCUUAAAAGCAAGCAAAGCUCUCUUGUACUAUUUCCCGGAUUGCCUCCUUGGCUUCAACCCUGCUUGUUCCUGACCCGUCCUUGUCGUCCCUGCCCUGGUAACCUGAACCGCCUUCUGUCCCUGACCCCUCUGCCUGCUCGCCCCUUGUCUGUCCCCAGUUAGCUUGGAUUCCCUGUUUGGAAAAUAAAGCUGUUGAACUGUUCCAACGCUGUUCUCAGUCUGUGCUGUUCUUGGGUCCAACCCCACGCCCCAUUACA
ensembl:lncRNA